GACGAACGCUGGCGGCGUGCCUAAUACAUGCAAGUCGAGCGGACAGAAGGGAGCUUGCUCCCGGAAGUUAGCGGCGGACGGGUGUGUAACACGUGGGCAACCUACCCUGUAGAUCGGGAUAACAUCGAGAAAUCGGUGCUAAUACCGGAUAAUCAUUUGAAGUGCAUGCUUCGAAUGUAAAAGAUGGCUCCGGCUAUCACUACGGGAUGGGCCCGCGGCGCAUUAGCUGGUUGGUAAGGUAAUGGCUUACCAAGGCAACGAUGCGUAGCCGACCUGAGAGGGUGAUCGGCCACACUGGGACUGAAACACGGCCCAGACUCCUACGGGAGGCAGCAGUAGGGAAUCUUCCGCAAUGGACGAAAGUCUGACGGAGCAACGCCGCGUGAGUGAUGAAGGUUUUCGGAUCGUAAAGCUCUGUUGUUAGGGAAGAACAAGUGCCGUUUGAAUAAGGCGGCACCUUGACGGUACCUAACCAGAAAGCCACGGCUAACUACGUGCCAGCCGCCGCGGUAAAAC
rnacentral:rRNA from 1 species